rnacentral:misc_RNA from 1 species
GAUGAAGAACGUAGCGAAAUGCGAUAAGUAGUGUGAAUUGCAGAAUUCAGUGAAUCAUCGAAUCUUUGAACGCACAUUGCGCCCCUUGGUAUUCCAUGGGGCAUGCCUGUUCGAGCGUCAUUUGUACCUUCAAGCUUUGCUUGGUGUUGGGUGUUUGUCUCGCCUUUGCGUGUAGACUCGCCUUAAAAUAAUUGGCAGCCGGCGUAUUGAUUUCGGAGCGCAGCACAUCUCGCGCUUUGCACUCAUAACGACAGCGUCCAAAAGUACAUUUUACACUCUUGACCUCGGAUCAGGUAGGGAUACCCGCUGAACUUAAGCAUAUCAAUAAGCGGAGGA